rnacentral:misc_RNA from 1 species
GAUGAAGAACGUAGCGAAAUGCGAUACUUGGUGUGAAUUGCAGAAUCCCGUGAACCAUCGAGUCUUUGAACGCAAGUUGCGCCUCAAGCCAUUAGGUUGAGGGCACGUCUGCCUGGGCGUCACAUAUCGUUGCCUGAUGCCAGUUUCCUCGUGAUGGGUGACUGUGCAGGGCGAAUGAUGGCUUCCCGUGAGCAUUGUUGCCUCAUGGUUGGUUGAAAAUUGAGUCCUUGGUAGGGAGCGCCGUGAUAGACGGUGGUUGAGUGACGAACGAGACCCAAUCAUGUGAGACCCCUACCGAAUUUGGCCUUCAUGACCCACAUGCGUCUUUGGAACGCUCAUGACGAGACCUCAGGUCAGGCGGGGCUACCCGCUGAGUUUAAGCAUAUCAAUAAGCGGAGGA